GACGAACGCUGGCGGCGUGCUUAACACAUGCAAGUCGAACGGAAAGGCCCUGCUUUUGUGGGGUGCUCGAGUGGCGAACGGGUGAGUAACACGUGAGUAACCUGCCCUUGACUUUGGGAUAACUUCAGGAAACUGGGGCUAAUACCGGAUAGGAGCUCCUGCUGCAUGGUGGGGGUUGGAAAGUUUCGGCGGUUGGGGAUGGACUCGCGGCUUAUCUGCUUGUUGGUGGGGUAGUGGCUUACCAAGGCUUUGACGGGUAGCCGGCCUGAGGGGGUGACCGGCAAAUUGGGGAUGGGGUAACGGCCAGGACCCUUACGGGAGGAAGAGGUGGGAAUAUUGCACAAUGGGCGGAAGCCUGAUGCAGCAACGCCGCGUGCGGGAUGACGGCCUUCGGGUUGUAAACCGCUUUCGCCUGUGACGAAGCGUGAGUGACGGGAAUGGGUAAAGAAGCACCGGCUAACUACGU
rnacentral:rRNA from 1 species